rnacentral:tRNA from 1 species
GCGCCCGUAGCUCAGAUGGUAGAGCAGUUGCCUCUUAAGCAAACGGUCGAAGGUUCGAUCCCUUCCGGGCGCA